AACUUUGCGCAGAGGCGAUAUCGUAACCAAUGAGGUUUAUCCGAGGUGCGAUUAUUGCUAGUUGAAAACAGAGGAGAACUCUUAAAAAUCCGAUUUAAAAAUGAUCCCAAUUUAUACCCCAUUUUCCCUAAAAGGUAGAUUGUUGAAUUUUGAUCCAACCUUAUUAUCGAUAUGUU